rnacentral:lncRNA from 1 species
AGGCAUUCGGAACCCUGAGGUGUAUGUUGGCUGUAGCAUAUUCAUUGUAGGAACUAGGUCGCACCAAAAUGAGAUCUAUUAACCUCGAUAGAUGAGAGGAGUAGUCCUAUGAUAAUCAAAAGAUCGAAUCCUUAAGCCCAUGGCCAUGGCAGAGUAAAAUAAUGGAAAAAGAGUUUUCCAUUGGGAUUUUACAUCGGACUUGGAUC